rnacentral:rRNA from 1 species
GACGAACGCUGGCGGCGUGCCUAAUACAUGCAAGUAGGACGCAGUUGCGAACGGGUGAGUAACGCGUAGGUAACUACCUAUUAGAGGGGGAUAAAUAUUGGAAACGAUAGCGAAUACCGCAUACUAGUAGAUGGCACUGCGUUGUAUUAGCUAGUAGGUAGGGUAAUGGCCUACCUAGGCAACGAUACAUAGACUACCUGAGAUGGGGGGCGGUGACACUGUGACUGAGACACGGCCCAGACUCCUACGGGAGUCAGCAGUAGGGAAUCUUCGGAAAUGGGGGGAACCCUGACCGAGCAACGCCGCGUGAGGGACGAAGGUUUUCGGAUCGUAAAGCGCUGUUGUUAAGGAAGCGGUACUUAACCAGAAAGUGACGGCUAACUACGUGCCAGCCGCCGCGGUAAUAC